rnacentral:rRNA from 1 species
UUCUGCAAGGUGCUGCAUGGUUGUCGUCAGCUCGUGCCGUGAGGUGUCGGGUUAAGUCCCAUAACGAGCGCAACCCUUAUCGUUAGUUGCCAGCUGGUAAAGCAGGGGACUCUAGCGAAACUGCCACCGUAAGGUGAGAGGAAGGUGGGGAUGACGUCAAAUCAGCACGGCCCUUAUGUCCAGGGCUACACACGUGUUACAAUGGCCGGCACAGAGGGCAGCUACCUGGUGACAGGAUGCUAAUCUCGAAAACCGGUCUCAGUUCGGAUCGAAGUCUGCAACUCGACUUCGUGAAGCUGGAUUCGCUAGUAAUCGCGCAUCAGCCAUGGCGCGGUGAAUACGUUCCCGGGCCUU